CACGUAGGGGGCAAGCGUUGUCCGGAUUUAUUGGGCGUAAAGAGCUCGUAGGCGGCUCAGUAAGUCGGGUGUGAAACCUCCAGGCUCAACCUGGAGACGCCACCCGAUACUGCUGUGGCUUGAGUCCGGUAGGGGAGCGUGGAAUUCCUGGUGUAGCGGUGAAAUGUGCAAAUAUCAGGAGGAACACCGAUGGCGAAGGCAGCUCGCUGGGACGGUACUGACACUGAGGCGCGAAAGCGUGGGGAGCGAACAGG
rnacentral:rRNA from 1 species